rnacentral:tRNA from 3 species
GCGGAUGUGGCGGAACUGGCAGACGCGCAGGUCUCAGAAGCCUGUGAUGGAGACAUCGUGGAGGUUCAAGUCCUCUCAUCCGCACCA